UACGUAGGGUGCAAGCGUUAAUCGGAAUUACUGGGCGUAAAGCGUGCGCAGGCGGUUUUGUAAGUCUGUCGUGAAAUCCCCGGGCUCAACCUGGGAAUGGCGAUGGAGACUGCAAGGCUAGAGUUUGGCAGAGGGGGGUAGAAUUCUACGUGUAGCAGUGAAAUGCGUAGAGAUGUGGAGGAACACCGAUGGCGAAGGCAGCCCCCUGGGUCAAAACUGACGCUCAUGCACGAAAGCGUGGGGAGCAAACAGG
rnacentral:rRNA from 1 species